GACGAACGCUGGCGGCGUGCUUAACACAUGCAAGUCGAACGGUGAAGGGACCAGCUUGCUGGUUCUGGAUGAGUGGCGAACGGGUGAGUAACACGUGAGUAACCUGCCCCCUUCUUCUGGAUAACCGCAUGAAAGUGUGGCUAAUACGGGAUAUUCUGGGUCUGUCGCAUGGCGGGCCCGGGAAAGAUAUUGCUUCGGUGGGGGAUGGGCUCGCGGCCUAUCAGCUUGUUGGUGGGGUGAUGGCCUACCAAGGCGGUGACGGGUAGCCGGCCUGAGAGGGUGGACGGUCACACUGGGACUGAGACACGGCCCAGACUCCUACGGGAGGCAGCAGUGGGGAAUAUUGCACAAUGGGCGCAAGCCUGAUGCAGCGACGCCGCGUGAGGGAUGGAGGCCUUCGGGGUGUAAACCUCUUUCGCCAGUGAAGCAGGCCUGCUCCUUGUGGGUGGGUUGACGGUAGCUGGAGAAGAAGCGCCGGCUAACUACGUG
rnacentral:rRNA from 1 species